rfam:Mycobacterium sp. EPa45, complete genome.
GGCGGUCUUCGGUAGUGGCUGCCGGGCCCCAAACGAUUGGGGAGCGCCCGGCCGCUUCGAUCGACGGCCGUA